AAUUUGUUGUUGUUUGCGUAGUGUCAGUCCAUUAAGAAACCAUGUAUUUUCAGUGCACUGAGAUAUCAAACUGUAAGGUAUCUCGUAAAACCUCCUUUAUUUUUAUGCAUCUAUUAGCAGGAGAAUAAUAAGACGGACAGUAUGACUCGAUAGGUUUGACAAAUAAAUCGAGAAAAGUAUCAUAAAAAAGGGAAAAGAAAUGGAAAAAGGAACAGAGUUUUUGUCCUAUGCUAAAAGAAUG